rnacentral:rRNA from 1 species
GCCUACGGGUGGCAGCAGUGAGGAAUUUUGGACAAUGGGGGCAACCCUGAUCCAGCCAUGCCGCGUGAGUGAAGAAGGCCUUCGGGUUGUAAAGCUCUUUCGGCCGGGAAGAAAUCGCAUCAGCUAAUACCUGGUGUGGAUGACGGUACCGGAAUAAGAAGCACCGGCUAACUACGUGCCAGCAGCCGCGGUAAUACGUAGGGUGCGAGCGUUAAUCGGAAUUACUGGGCGUAAAGCGUGCGCAGGCGGUUGUGGAAGACAGGCGGGAAAUCCCCGUGCUCAACCUGGGAACUGCGCUUGUGACUGCACAGCUAGAGUACGGCAGAGGGGGGGGGAAUUCCACGGGUAGCAGUGAAAUGCGUAGAGAUGUGGAGGAACACCGAUGGCGAAGGCAGCCCCCUGGGCCGAUACUGACGCUCAUGCACGAAAGCGUGGGUAGCUAACAGGAUUAGAUACCCUAGUAGUCUGU